rnacentral:tRNA from 1 species
UCCUGGGUGGCCCAGUUGGUUGGGCGGCCGACUCUUGGUUUCGGCUUAGGUUGUGAUCUCCAGGUUGUGGGAUCAAGUCCCACCUUGUGGA